rnacentral:rRNA from 1 species
AUUGAACGCUGGCGGCAGGCCUAACACAUGCAAGUCGAACGAGCGGCGGACGGGUGAGUAAUGUAUGGGACACUGCCCGAUGGAGGGGGAUAACUACUGGACACGGUAGCUAAUACCGCAUACCAUCCGAUGAUCCCCUAUGGGAUUAGCUAGUAGGUGGGGUAACGGCUCACCUAGGCGACGAUCCCUAGCUGGUCUGAGAGGAUGAGCAGCCACACUGGGACGGAGACACGGCCCAGACUCCUACGGGAGGCAGCAGUGGGGAAGAUUGCACAAUGGGCGCAAGCCUGAUGCAGCCAUGCCGCGUGUAUGAAGAAGGCCUUCGGGUUGUAAAGUACUUUCAGUCGGGAGGCGUUACCGACAGAAGAAGCACCGGCUAACUCCGUGCCAGCAGCCGCGGUAAUUC